rnacentral:rRNA from 1 species
AUACGGAGGGUGCAAGCGUUACUCGGAAUCACUGGGCGUAAAGGAUGCGUAGGCGGAUAAUCAAGUCAAAAGUGAAAUCCUACAGCUUAACUGUAGAACUGCUUUCGAAACUGGUUAUCUAGAAUAUGGAAGAGGCAGAUGGAAUUAGUGGUGUAGGGGUAAAAUCCGUAGAGAUCACUAGGAAUACCGAUUGCGAAGGCGAUCUGCUGGGACAUUCUUGACGCUGAGGCAUGAAAGCGUGGGGAGCAAACAGGAUUAGAUACCCUAGUAGUCC